AAGAUUGCACCAUAACUAGUGCUCAAUAGACAAACAUUAUCAAAGAAGUGCACCCUUUUCUUUUUAUCCCCCUCUUUGCCUCAAAAUAGACAAAGGACAUAUAAAGAACAUAAACAAAAUAACAAGCUUCCAGAUCCAGAACAAAAUCUUGACAAGAACAAUAACCAAUCAAACCAACACAUAUCUUCAGCCAAAAGACCUCAAGAAGGAAAC
rnacentral:lncRNA from 1 species